GGCAAGAUGGCGGCGGCUGGGGCUGGCCGUCUGAGGCGGGCGGCAUCGGCUCUGCUGCUGCGGAGCCCCCGCCUGCCCGCCCGGGAGCUGUCGGCCCCGGCCCGACUCUAUCACAAGAAGGUAUCUCAAAUCUGUGAAGUAUUGUAGAGGAGACACAAAAGGAAUUGGGGGUCACAAAUGGUUCUCAUUGACAUGAGUGUAGACCUUUCUACUCAGGUGAAAUUUGGUAUUUAGUGAUUGCCUGCCAGGUUCAAGAUGCUGACCGAGGAGCUUACCAUCAAACCAGAGACCAGUACCAAUAGAGAGUGAACAUGAUUUAUCUUAACCCUCUCAUUUUAGGUUGUUGAUCAUUAUGAAAAUCCUAGAAACGUGGGGUCCCUUGACAAGACAUCUAAAAAUGUUGGAACUGGACUGGUGGGGGCUCCAGCAUGUGGUGACGUAAUGAAAUUACAGAUUCAAGUGGAUGAAAAGGGGAAGAUUGUGGAUGCUAGGUUUAAAACAUUUGGCUGUGGUUCCGCAAUUGCCUCCAGCUCAUUAGCCACUGAAUGGGUGAAAGGAAAGACGGUGGAGGAAGCCUUGACUAUCAAAAACACAGAUAUCGCCAAGGAGCUCUGCCUUCCUCCCGUGAAACUGCACUGCUCCAGUAAGUCUCUGCUCUCCAUACCAGUCAGCUGGGACAUUUGGCAGUAAUUUCAACUUGGUUUGCAACAGUCCUUUUAGAUCAUGGAGCCCACGUUUGUAACCCUCAGAAUUAGAGCUCAUGAGUCUGUCCUUAUAACCUGCAGAGGGUUAGAGCCCCCAUGGUCUCACAUUCAUCCC
rnacentral:sRNA from 1 species